rnacentral:piRNA from 1 species
AAAAGUCUGAGCACGAGAGCUGGUACUGU